UUGUUACCGUACUCCUCCGAAACCACUUGACCGAUUUUCAUGAAAUUUGGCAGGUAUACUCGACCGGACAUGGAGUAGGUUGUUAUCUAUAUUUCAUAGCCGUACGUCUAAAGGGGGCUCUGCCCCCCUAAUAAUUUUUUUUUUAUUUUUCGACAAACCGAUUUUUCUUAUUUCUAUAUGAUUCAGAAGCAAAAGAUACAUACAAUCCUAAAUUUUCACUUUUCUAUCUUCAACCGUUAUUUUUUUAAAAAAAUUUCGUGGUUUAACAUCUAUAUAUAUAAAAUUCUAAUUCGCAGGCUUUGUUACCGUACUCCUCCGAAACCACUUGACCGAUUUUCAUGAAAUUUGGCAGGUAUACUCGACCGGACAUGGAGUAGGUUGUUAUCUAUAUUUCAUAGCCGUACGUCUAAAGGGGGCUCUGCCCCCCUAAUAAUUUUUUUUUUAUUUUUCGACAAACCGAUUUUUCUUAUUUCUAUAUGAUUCAGAAGCAAAAGAUACAUACAAUCCUAAAUUUUCACUUUUCUAUCUUCAACCGUUAUUUUUUUAAAAAAAUUUCGUGGUUUAACAUCUAUAUAUAUAAAAUUCUAAUUCGCAGGCUUUGUUACCGUACUCCUCCGAAACCACUUGACCGAUUUUCAUGAAAUUUGGCAGGUAUACUCGACCGGACAUGGAGUAGGUUGUUAUCUAUAUUUCAUAGCCGUACGUCUAAAGGGGGCUCUGCCCCCCUAAUAAUUUUUUUUUAUUUUUCGACAAACCGAUUUUUCUUAUUUCUAUAUGAUUCACAAGCAAAAGAUACAUAUAAUCCUAAAUUUUCACUUUUCUAUCUUUAACCGUUAUUUUUUUAAAAAAAUUUCGUGGUUUAACAUCUAUAUAUAUAAAAUUCUAAUUCGCAGGCUUUGUUACCGUACUCCUCCGAAACCGCUUGACCGAUUUUCAUGAAAUUUGGCAGGUGGACUCGACCGGACAGGGAGUAGGU
rnacentral:lncRNA from 1 species